rnacentral:rRNA from 1 species
UACGAAGGGGACUAGCGUUGUUCGGAAUUACUGGGCGUAAAGCGCACGUAGGCGGAUUUGUAAGUCAGGGGUGAAAUCCCGGGGCUCGACCUCGGAACUGCCUUUGAUACUGCAAAUCUCGAGUCCGAUAGAGGUGGGUGGAAUUCCUAGUGUAGAGGUGAAAUUCGUAGAUAUUAGGAAGAACACCGGUGGCGAAGGCGGCCCACUGGAUCGGUACUGACGCUGAGGUGCGAAAGCGUGGGGAGCAAACAGG